rnacentral:tRNA from 1 species
GAUAAUGUGUCUGAUUAGGUGAUAAAUUGUAAAUUUAUUUAUAGAAUUUUAUUCUCAUUAUUA